rnacentral:ncRNA from 2 species
AAAUAAUCAGCGAAUCAAGGUGCCAACAUGUUGGCUUAAAAGGGAAUCCGGUGCAAAUCCGGAACUGUCCCCGCAACUGUAAGUGUGACGAACUGGGAAUACCACUGUACGAGAGAAAUGUAUGGGAAGGACUCAGCGCAGAAUGAUCACAAGUCAGGAGACCUGCCUUAGAUUUGCAGAAGUU